GUAGUCUCGCACAGAUGCAUAUCAAUAAGCGGAGGAAAAGAAACUAACAAGGAUUCCCCUAGUAACGGCGAGUGAAGCGGGAAGAGCUCAAAUUUGAAAUCUUAAAGGGUUUCCCUUUACGAAUUGUAGUUUAAAGAAGUGUUUUCUGUUGAGGUUUUGGUAAAAGUUCUUUGGAAUAGGACAUCAUAGAGGGUGAGAAUCCCGUAUUUGACCUUUACUUUCAACUUUGUGAUACACUUUCAAAGAGUCGGAUUGUUUGGGAAUGCAGUCCAAAAUGGGUGGUAAAUUUCAUCUAAAGCUAAAUAUUGGCGAGAGACCGAUAGCGAACAAGUACCGUGAGGGAAAGAUGAAAAGAACUUUGAAAAGAGAGUUAAACAGUACGUGAAAUUGUCAAAAGGGAAGCGUUUGACACCAGUGUUGUUUUUCUGAAAUCAAUUAAAGAACUGUUUAUGCUAAGCUGUUUAGACUUUAUCAGCUAAUCUGUUUAGUUUUGAGCUUUUCUUUAAUGCACUUUUCAGUUAACAAGUCAACAUCAAUUUCUUUUGCUGUAAAAAAGCUUGAGGAAGGUGGCUUGAGAUUCGUCUUAAGUGUUUAUAGCCUCUUGCCUAUGCAGUCGGAGAGAUUGAGGUCUGCAGCGUAGAUCCUUCGGGGCUAAAUGCAUUUGUGCUAAGUUAUAGCAUUUUAUAGACAACUUGUUGACUAUGAUUUGUCUUGUAGCUUACUCGCUUAUGUUAUUUUACCUACGCUUAGGAUGUUGAUCUGUAGUGCGUGCGC
rnacentral:rRNA from 1 species